rnacentral:rRNA from 1 species
UAGGGAAUCUUCCACAAUGGACGAAAGUCUGAUGGAGCAACGCCGCGUGAGCGAUGAAGGCCUUCGGGUCGUAAAGCUCUGUUGUUAGGGAAGAACAAGUACCGGAGUAACUGCCGGUACCUUGACGGUACCUAACCAGAAAGCCACGGCUAACUACGUGCCAGCAGCCGCGGUAAUACGUAGGUGGCAAGCGUUGUCCGGAAUUAUUGGGCGUAAAGCGCGCGCAGGCGGUCCUUUAAGUCUGAUGUGAAAGCCCACGGCUCAACCGUGGAGGGUCAUUGGAAACUGGGGGACUUGAGUGCAGAAGAGGAAAGCGGAAUUCCACGUGUAGCGGUGAAAUGCGUAGAGAUGUGGAGGAACACCAGUGGCGAAGGCGGCUUUCUGGUCUGUAACUGACGCUGAGGCGCGAAAGCGUGGGGAGCAAACAGGAUUAGAUACCCUGGUAGUCCACGCCGUAAACGAUGAGUGCUAAGUGUUAGAGGGUUUCCGCCCUUUAGUGCUGCAG